GACGAACGCUGGCGGCGUGCUUAACACAUGCAAGUCGAGCGGUAAGGCCCUUCGGGGUACACGAGCGGCGAACGGGCGAGUAACACGUGGGUGACCUGCCUUUAGCUCUGGGAUAAGCCUGGGAAACUGGGUCUAAUACCGGAUAUGACCUCAUGACGCAUGUUGUGGGGUGGAAAGCCUUGUGCGGCUAGAGAUGGGCCCGCGGCCUAUCAGCUUGUUGGUGGGGUGANGGCCUACCAAGGCGACGACGGGUAGCCGGCCUGAGAGGGCGACCGGCCACACUGGGACUGAGACACGGCCCAGACUCCUACGGGAGGCAGCAGUGGGGAAUCUUGCGCAAGUGGGCGAAAGCCUGACGCAGCGACGCCGCGUGAGGGAUGACGGCCU
rnacentral:rRNA from 1 species